rnacentral:lncRNA from 1 species
GCCACUAGGCGGAGGGGAGGGGAAGGGAGGGGGCAAGGGAAGAGGGAGGGGGACGGGGAAGCCUCUCCGCUCGGUUACCCGGCAACUGGCCUCAGCGCCCCGCCAACCAGGUGAUAGCUCCAUAUCCUUCCGCUCAGACACCCGGGAUUACAUCAGAACAGGGUCACAUAGUCCCCUCCCCCUUCAGGGCGGAGAGCGAGCCGAGAGGAAGCGAAGGAGCGGAGGAGAGGAGAAAGAGGGAGGAAAAGAGGGCGUUAUAUUCCCUGCAAAAUGAGGAUAAAAUGACCAUGUACUUCCCAGAAAAUGAAGGAAUUGGACCAAGUUGCUAUGGUCUCCUACAGCUCUGCAAUUCUACAUUCAACCAUCUGGGUAUAAAACUACACAGUGACCUGCUCUAUGGUGCCCAGGACUUCAGCUGUUUUAGUGGGAUACUGCUAAGAUGAAUGAAGCAAAGCAAUCCCUAAAUUGGACUCCAAUUGGAAGGCCUGACUGAAGGGACAUGGAGCACCAGGGACAUAGAUUGCAAGAACCCAGGAAAAGUGUCAUGGGUAGGUUAGGAACUAAAUGUUGAAGAAGAGUCUAUUGGAGGACCAUACAAUAAAGGAGAAAUCUGUGGGGUGUCCCA